UCCAGCUUAUCGCUGGCGGUCUCCUGCGAGUUCCGUCUUGAUAUAAUCUCAACAUGGCAACACAGGACAAGGGUUGCGCUCGUUGCGGGACUUAACCCAACAUCUCACGACACGAGCUGACGACAGCCAUGCAGCACCUCGACUGGACCCCCUUGCGGGGUAAAGAUGUUUCCACCUCCGUUGACCAGCCGUUCGAGCCCAGGUAAGGUUCUUCGCGUUGCGUCGAAUUGAACCACAUGCUCCACCGCUUGUGCGGGCCCCCGUCAAUUCCUUUGAGUUUCAGCCUUGCGACUGUACUCCCCAGGCGGCAUAUUUAACGCGUUAGCUCCGGCACAGAUCAACUGAAUGACCCACACCAAAUAUGCAUCGUUUAGGGCGUGGACUAC
rnacentral:misc_RNA from 1 species